UAUUGGUCAAUGGCCGGAAGGCUGAACCAGCCAAGUCGCGUGAGGGAAUAAGGCCCUACGGGUCGUAAACUUCUUUUGUCAGGGAGCAAUUGGGUCCACGCGUGGGCUUAGCGAGAGUACCUGAAGAAAAAGCAUCGGCUAACUCCGUGCCAGCAGCCGCGGUAAUACGGAGGAUGCGAGCGUUAUCCGGAUUUAUUGGGUUUAAAGGGUGCGUAGGCGGAAUAUCAAGUCAGCGGUAAAAAUUCGGGGUUCAACCCCGUCGUGCCGUUGAAACUGAUGUUCUUGAGUGGGCGAGAAGUAUGCGGAAUGCGUGGUGUAGCGGUGAAAUGCAUAGAUAUCACGCAGAACUCCGAUUGCGAAGGCAGCAUACCGGCGCCCAACUGACGCUGAAGCACGAAAGCGUGGGUAUCG
rnacentral:rRNA from 1 species